GGCUUGGUUGAGUGCGGGCGGGCUCCCUGGGGGAGGGCUCCUCCCUCCUCUACUCACCGCACCCAUGUUCCUGCUACCCACACACAACUUCCCAACACCCUCCCUCGUGCCACCUAAUCUUCCACAAUAGUAACAAUGACCGUGGCGCCUGGCAUGUGCCAAGUGCAGCUCUACAUGCACCUUUUUUCAUCCUCACAGCAGCCCUGUGAGUCACUCCUGUAUCCAUUUGGUAGAUAGAGAAUCCGCGAGGUAGAGAUACCUGUCCGAGGUUACACAGCUGAUAGGGGCGGAGCUAGGAUUCUUCACCCAGGUCCCUGUGACCCACCCACGUGAUCUGAUUCCUCACUUUCUCCUGCGUUCCUGGAGGAUUUGUUGAGCUCUUGAUUUGCUGAGUCCCCACCUGCAGUCCUCAGAGGCAGGUACUGUUGUCAUCCCCACUUUAAGAGCGAGAGACGUGAUUUGCCCACAGUCGCGCCCCAGAGACCCCUGCCUCAGAAAUCUCCACCGAGAAGCUCUUGUGCUCUGCUUCCGGCUUCCUGUUCCCUGCCCGGGGCACACUGAGUGUCAGGAUCAGGGACUCGGGGGUUGGUGUCACUACCAGACACAGACCCUGGGGCCCCAUUCUGCCCCUUGGAGGUUUCCAGUCCUGGCGGCAGAUCUUGAGUGAGGAUUGACUAGAUGGCAGCAUCUCGGUGCUACAGUAUCUGCCACCUCAGCCCCCUGGCUCAUGGGGUCACUUCUGACGCACAGACUGGUGGCACUUCUGAAUCUUGGGUCCUGAAUCUGCCCUUUAGGAAGCCAGACUCUCAGAAUCUGGCUCCGAAGAGACUAGGAACACCAGAGGUGACGCCAGCCCCCGGGAGUGGGCCAGUUCUGGCCUUGCCACAGCCCAGCAAUCGGCACUCCGUGCUCCCUGUGUAUGUAUCAGAUGAACACAUCUGACUUCACUUCACCCGGCCUCACCAGCUCUGCCGGUCUGAGGUCACCAAUGAGAACAGUGGGGCACCUCAAAGGCAACAUUCCCCAAAUGGCUCAUGAUCUGCUCCUCCAAAGUCAGCCCUCUGCCAGGAGUCCCUGACUAAGGGAACAAUACGAUCAUCUUGGAGUUACAAAAGCCACACCUCUGCGCAUCAUCCUCGACCAACCUUUGCUUUCUCUCUUCUUGUUUCUGGCACCCAAAAUAACACCCAGCACAUAGCAAGUGCUUAAUAAAUACUUAUGGGAUGACUGAAUGACUGUCUAAUUCAUCCCAAGUCACGUCACUACCUUCUAAAUGUCCUAUGCAUUAGGCUGUUUCCAUUCUCUCUGCCCUGGUCCAACCACCAUCUCCUCACACCUGGAUUUUGCUCCCCUAGGUGGGUCACUUCCUUGGUGACCUCCCAGCAUGCACCCUGGCCCCUGUGAGGCCACAACUCAGAUCUGAUCAGGUCUUUCCCAAAGGUCACCCUCAAAAGUGAGUCACAUUUUUCUGUGGCUUCUCAUGACUCUUAAGAUGAGUCCCAAGUU